AGGGUUUGAUUCUGGCUCAGAUUGAACGCUGGCGGCAGGCCUAACACAUGCAAGUCGAGCGCGAAAGCACUUCGGUGUGAGUAAAGCGGCGGACGGGUGAGUAACGCGUAGGAAUCUACCUAGUAGUGGGGGACAACUCGGGGAAACUCGAGCUAAUACCGCAUACGCCCUACGGGGGAAAGCGGGGGACCUUCGGGCCUCGUGCUAUUAGAUGAGCCUGCGUUGGAUUAGCUAGUUGGUGGGGUAAAGGCCUACCAAGGCGACGAUCCAUAGCUGGUCUGAGAGGAUGAUCAGCCACACCGGGACUGAGACACGGCCCGGACUCCUACGGGAGGCAGCAGUGGGGAAUAUUGCGCAAUGGGCGAAAGCCUGACGCAGCCAUGCCGCGUGUGUGAAGAAGGCCUUCGGGUUGUAAAGCACUUUCAAUUGGGAGGAAAGGUUCACGGUUAAUAACCGUGAACUGUGACGUUACCUUUAGAAGAAGCACCGGCUAACUCCGUGCCAGCCGCCGCGGUAAUUC
rnacentral:rRNA from 1 species